ACUCCUACGGGAGGCAGCAGUGGGGAAUAUUGNACAAUGGGCGCAAGCCUGAUCCACGCAAUGCCAGCUGUGUGUGAANAAGGCCUNAGGGUUGUAAAGCNCUUUCAAUUGUNAAGAANAGUUUAAGGUUAAUANCNUUAGACCUUGACGUUANCUUUAGAAGAAGGCACCGGCUAACUCC
rnacentral:rRNA from 1 species